UUGAUAAAGUAGUCAAAAUCUUUUGGUAAAUCCUAAUUCCAAAAAUGGCUAAGACGUAGACACUAAUAUUAUUACAAUUUCAACAGAGAUACAUAUCGAUGUCCAGUAUUACUCUGUGUCAUUUAAUGCUUGCACUCCUCAAAUACAGUGUUGUUCAGCUAUAUUUUUCGUUUUCUUUGGCGCUGUAAGCAUACGAAUAUUUAAAAAUUGGAAGUGGAGAGGCCUUUGUUUUUUAUGCAUACACUAACAUAUUUGUUAUGUGUUAGCCAUAUGUUGGAAUUAGGAUAUGUAAUUCUUAACUGGUAGGGUACAGAGCGCAAUGCAUCACAAUUUUUCUGAUAGCUACUAAGACUUAUUCGGUACUGGCAAUACAAUACACAUAUUAGAUUUGCAUGGUUUUCAAUCAAGCUGGCACAGUUUAUUUUAAUGGUGAUGAUGGGAUGGAUAUUUUAAAAGAAUUACAUAAUGUUAAUAAAUGUUAUAUUUAAAUUU